rnacentral:rRNA from 1 species
GACGAACGCUGGCGGCGUGCUUAACACAUGCAAGUCGAACGGAAAGGCCCUGCUUUUGUGGGUUGCUCGAGUGGCGAACGGGUGAGUAACACGUGAGUAACCUGCCCUUGACUUUGGGAUAACUUCAUGAAAAUGGGGCUAAUACCGGAUAGGAUCUCCUGCUGCCUGUUGGUGGUUGGUAAGUUUCGGCGGUUGUGGAUGGUCUCGCUGGUUAGCAGCUUGUUGUUGGUGUAGUGGCUUCCCAAGGCUUUGACGGGUCGGAGGCGUGAGAGGGGGACCGGGCAAAUGGCGACUGAGAUACGGCCGAGACUCGUAGGGGAGGCAGGGGGAGGGAAUAUUGCACAACGGGGCGAAGCCUGAUGCAGGAACGCGGCGUGCGGGAUGAAGGGCUUUGGGGUAAGAACAGAUUUGGACUGAGACGAAGAGUGAGUGACGGUAAUGGAUAAAAAAGCAACGGCUAACUACGUG